rnacentral:rRNA from 1 species
GAUGAACGCUAGCGGCAGGCUUAAUACAUGCAAGUCGAACGGUAGAAGUCUCUUCGGAGGCUUUGAGAGUGGCGCACGGGUGCGUAACGCGUAUGCAACCUGCCUUCAGUUGGGGGAUAGCCCGGGGAAACCCGGAUUAAUACCGCAUAAUACAGGGGCCCCGCAUGGGGAUAUUUGUUAAAGAUUUAUCGACUGAAGAUGGGCAUGCGUCUGAUUAGCUAGUUGGUGAGGUAAUGGCUCACCAAGGCGACGAUCAGUAGGGGAUCUGAGAGGAUGGCCCCCCACACUGGUACUGAGAUACGGACCAGACUCCUACGGGAGGCAGCAGUAAGGAAUAUUGGACAAUGGGCGGAAGCCUGAUCCAGCCAUGCCGCGUGCAGGAAGACGGCCCUAUGGGUUGUAAACUGCUUUUGUAAGGGAAUAAUAAGGCGAACGAGUUUCGCUGAUGAAGGUACCUUACGAAUAAGCAUCGGCUAACUCCGUGCCAGCAGCCGCGGUAAUACGGAGGAUGCAAGCGUUAUCCGGAUUUAUUGGGUUUAAAGGGUGCGUAGGCGGCCUUUUAAGUCAGGGGUGAAAUGUUGCGGCUUAACCGCAGAAUUGCCUUUGAUACUGGGAGGCUUGAAUGAAGUUGAGGUAGGCGGAAUGUGGCAAGUAGCGGUGAAAUGCAUAGAGAUGCCACAGAACACCGAUUGCGAAAGGCAGCUUACUAAGCUUUGAUUGACGCUGAGGCACGAAAGCGUGGGGAUCAAACAGGAUUAGAUACCCUGGUAGUCCACGCAGUAAACGAUGAGAACUAGCUGUUGGCGAUAGAAUGUCAGCGGCACAGCGAAAGCGUUAAGUUCUCCACCUGGGGAGUACGACCGCAAGGUUGAAACUCAAAGGAAUUGACGGGGGCCCGCACAAGCGGAGGAGCAUGUGGUUUAAUUCGAUGAUACGCGAGGAACCUUACCUGGGCUUGAAAGUGAGUGACCGGCGCUGAAAGGCGCCUUCCCUUCGGGGCACAAAACUAGGUGCUGCAUGGCUGUCGUCAGCUCGUGCCGUGAGGUGUUGGGUUAAGUCCCGCAACGAGCGCAACCCCUAUCAUCAGUUGCCAUCAGGUAAAGCUGGGGACUCUGGUGAGACUGCCUGCGCAAGCAGUGAGGAAGGCGGGGACGACGUCAAGUCAUCAUGGCCCUUACGUCCAGGGCUACACACGUGCUACAAUGGCAGCUACAGAGGGCCGCGACCGUGCAAACGGGAGCUAAUCUCAAAAAGGUUGUCACAGUUCGGAUUGAGGUCUGCAACUCGACCUCAUGAAGUUGGAUUCGCUAGUAAUCGCGUAUCAGCAAUGACGCGGUGAAUACGUUCCCGGGCCUUGUACACACCGC